rnacentral:rRNA from 1 species
UACGUAGGGUGCGAGCGUUAAUCGGAAUUACUGGGCGUAAAGCGUGCGCAGGCGGUCUGUUAAGACAGAUGUGAAAUCCCCGGGCUUAACCUGGGAACUGCAUUUGUGACUGGCAGGCUAGAGUAUGGCAGAGGGGGGUAGAAUUCCACGUGUAGCAGUGAAAUGCGUGGAGAUGUGGAGGAAUACCGAUGGCGAAGGCAGCCCCCUGGGCCAAUACUGACGCUCAUGCACGAAAGCGUGGGGAGCAAACAGG